rnacentral:misc_RNA from 1 species
GCUGCGCCCCGACUUGAACGGAGCUCUUUUUAUAAAUGACGCGGAGCGGAAAUUAUAAAAAAGCGGGAGUGGAAGGCGGAAAAAGGC